rnacentral:rRNA from 1 species
GAUGAACGCUGGCGGCGUGCCUAAUACAUGCAAGUCGAGCGAACGGACGAGAAGCUUGCUUCUCUGAUGUUAGCGGCGGACGGGUGAGUAACACGUGGAUAACCUACCUAUAAGACUGGGAUAUCUUCGGGAAACCGGAGCUAAUACCGGAUAAUAUUUUGAACCGCAUGGUUCAAAAGUGAAAGACGGUCUUGCUGUCACUUAUAGAUGGAUCCGCGCUGCAUUAGCUAGUUGGUAAGGUAACGGCUUACAAAGGCAACGAUGCAUAGCCGACCUGAGAGGGUGAUCGGCCACACUGGAACUGAGACACGGUCCAGACUCCUACGGGAGGCAGCAGUAGGGAAUCUUCCGCAAUGGGCGAAAGCCUGACGGAGCAACGCCGCGUGAGUGAUGAAGGUCUUCGGAUCGUAAAACUCUGUUAUUAGGGAAGAACAUAUGUGUAAGUAACUGUGCACAUCUUGACGGUACCUAAUCAGAAAGCCACGGCUAACUACGUG